GUGUUCGUAGGAAGGAGAAAUGGUUGGCAUCCCCCCCCCUGACAGGAACAGCCUUCGGGCUUAGGUGUUGACACAUCGGUUAAGGGCCUAAGGCUACCUGCUACCCACCCUUGUGGUCGAUCUAUAACCCAAAUUUUU